rnacentral:lncRNA from 1 species
CAGGUGUUUGAGGAAAAGUAUCAAACAGAGAAUGUGCUGGAAUCAAAGCUAAAGGCUCCAUCCAAAUGUUAGAGCGAGACCUGUUUUUGUAGCUGUUUUUAUUAUUUGUUGGUCGGGCCGUUUCUUCCCCUCCGUUCCCGUCCCGCUCCGCGCUCGGACAGUGGGACGGCCCCUCCCCGUGUGGUGGCUCGGGGCCCCUCCCUCUCAUCGGAGCGUCCCAGGGGCCCCUCAGGCAGCGGCAGCCUCCCUCCUGCUGCUCAGAGCAGCUGUGACUGCCAGGCUGUGCACUGGCCCCCCACGCUGCGCUCGUCCCGUCACCACAGCCGGACCGACCCUCAGAGCUGACCUCGAGACAGGCCCGUUAUCCCGAGACUGGCCCAUUAUCCUCAGGACUGACCCGGUAUCCUGAAGACUGGCCAUUAUCCUCAGGACUGGCCCGUUAUCCUCAGGACAGGAGCGUUAUCCCCGAGACUGGCCCAUUAUCCUCAGGACUGGCCCGUUAUCCUCAGGACAGGAGCGUUAUCCAGAGACUGGCCCAUUAUCCUUGAGACUGACCCGGUAUCCUCAGGACUGACCCGUAAUCCCUGGACUUUUCGGACCGUCCCUCUCCUCCUCGUCCCGUCAGGAUGAGCGUCCCCGACCACGUGGCCCUCCUGCUGGGGCCCUGGUGGUGGCCCCUCUGCUCCUCCUGCCUCCCCGGCCCGGGCAGGGUGUCCCGCCGCCUGCCGCUGCUCCUUCGCCAUGGUGCAGUGCCUGGAGCCGGACGGGGUGGCCGUGUUCCCCGCGCUGGCGGCCGCGGAGAGCGAGAACGUCACCGAGAUAUACAUGGAGAACCAGGCCGGAGUGGAGAACAUCACAGACGUGGACCUCGUCAACUUCAGGGAGCUGCGAAACCUAACCGUCACAUUCUGCAAACUGCGCUUCAUCUCAGCCAACGCCUUCCAGAACAACCUGAAGCUGCAGUACGUGAAUCUGGCGUCCAACUCCCUGGAGCACAUCAGUUGGAAGGUCUUCCACUUCCUGCCUCUGCUGAGUCUGUGAGUACUUCAAAAUACUAUAGUACUGUACGUAAUAUCCAUGUCACUGUGAAUAUUCCACAUCAGACAUCACAAUAGAAGGGUCUAGAUCAGGAGUGUGCAAACGUUUUUCAUCAAGGGCGGCUUAUCAAAGAG